GACGAACGCUGGCGGCGUGCUUAACACAUGCAAGUCGAACGAUGAAGCCCAGCUUGCUGGGUGGAUUAGUGGCGAACGGGUGAGUAACACGUAGGCAACCUGCCCCAAACUCUGGGAUAACUCCUCGAAAGAGGUGCUAAUACCGGAUACGAACUAGACAGACAUCUGUACUAGUUGGAAAGUUUUUCGGUUUGGGAUGGGCCCGCGGCCUAUCAGCUUGUUGGUGAGGUAACGGCUCACCAAGGCUACGACGGGUAACCGGCCUGAGAGGGCGACCGGUCACACUGGGACUGAGACACGGCCCAGACUCCUACGGGAGGCAGCAGUGGGGAAUAUUGCGCAAUGGGCGAAAGCCUGACGCAGCGACGCCGCGUGAGGGAUGAAGGUCUUCGGAUCGUAAACCUCUUUCAGUAGGGACGAAGCGAAAGUGACGGUACCUAAAGAAGAAGCACCGGCUAACUACGUGCCAGCAGCCGCAGUAA
rnacentral:rRNA from 1 species